rnacentral:rRNA from 1 species
UACGGAGGGUGCGAGCGUUGUCCGGAAUCAUUGGGCGUAAAGGGCGCGUAGGUGGCUCGGUCAGUUCGUGGUGAAAGCGCGGGGCUCAACCCUGCGUCGGCCAUGAAUACUGCCGCGGCUGGAGCACUGUAGAGGCAGGCGGAAUUCCGGGUGUAGCGGUGGAAUGCGCAGAUAUCAGGAGGAACACCGAUGGCGAAGGCAGGUCUCUGGGCCACUACUGACGCUGAGAAGCGAAAGCAUGGGGAGCGAACAGG